AAUGCACUGCACGUGUACAAAACACCGUGAUAACUAAAUUAGUUGUGCAUUACAUUAACGCACUCUCACUUUAUUGAUUAAUACUCACACUGAAAUGUGUGUUAUUGUGUAAUAUACAUAGCAGUAAUUCCUCAAUGAUGACAUCAACGACGACAGAAAGCAGACAUGAUUGUCUGCAACAAAUACGACGACAGAUUCUACUUCCUACUGACCACCAAUGUGAGGAGGCAUGGCGGCCACGUAGUCCAGACCGCACGUCUUCAGCACCGUGUACAUCCUGUCGUGGUCCUCCGUCACUGGAACCAGGCGGGGAGGGACUUUGGCACGAUCCCACAGCAGGAAGGCUGGAUGUGAGGAAGAUGAAGGGCAACCGAGUGGAGCCCUACUCAGGUUGUUGCGUGUCCCCAGGAUGAUGAUGGCAGCAUCCUGGCCCUCCAUGGUCUUCUUCACAUCCUCUUUAUUCAGCACAUCCCCCACCACCACUCUGCACGCCUUGUGGUCAGCGGGCAGCCUGG